rnacentral:rRNA from 1 species
GGUGAACGCUGGCGGCGUGCCUAAUACAUGCAAGUCGAGCGAAUGGAUUAAGAGCUUGCUCUUAUGAAGUUAGCGGCGGACGGGUGAGUAACACGUGGGUAACCUGCCCAUAAGACUGGGAUAACUCCGGGAAACCGGGGCUAAUACCGGAUAACAUUUUGAACCGCAUGGUUCGAAAUUGAAAGGCGGCUUCGGCUGUCACUUAUGGAUGGACCCGCGUCGCAUUAGCUAGUUGGUGAGGUAACGGCUCACCAAGGCAACGAUGCGUAGCCCACCUGAGAGGGUGAUCGGCCACACUGGGACUGUGACACGGCCCAGACUCCUACGGGAGGCAGCAGUAGGGAAUCUUCCGCAAUGGACGAAAGUCUGACGGUGCAACGCCGCGUGAGUGAUGAAGGCUUUCGGGUCGUAAAACUCUGUUGUUAGGGAAGAACAAGUGCUAGUUGAAUAAGCUGGCACCUUGACGGUACCUAACCAGAAAGCCACGGCUAACUACGUGCCAGCCGCCGCCGUAA